rnacentral:rRNA from 1 species
UACGAAGGGGGCUAGCGUUGCUCGGAAUUACUGGGCGUAAAGAGCGCGCAGGCGGUCGUUCAAGUCGAGUGUGAAAGCCCCCGGCUCAACUGGGGAGGGUCAUUCGAUACUGAUCGACUUGAAGGCAGGAGAGGGAAGCGGAAUUCCCGGUGUAGUGGUGAAAUGCGUAGAUAUCGGGAGGAACACCAGUGGCGAAGGCGGCUUCCUGGCCUGUUCUUGACGCUGAGGCGCGAAAGCUAGGGGAGCAAACGGG